rnacentral:sRNA from 1 species
GCCGGGUGUAGUGGUGCAUGCCUGUAAUCCCAGCGGCUGGGGAGGCUGAUGCAGGAGGAUUGCAAGCUCAAAGCCAACUUCUGCAACAGCGAGGCCCUAAGCAACUCAUUGAGACCCUGUCUCUA